ACAGCAGCAGCCACGGUAAUACGGAGGGGGCUAGCGUUGUUCGGAAUUACUGGGCGUAAAGCGUACGUAGGCGGCUUUGUAAGUUAGAGGUGAAAGCCUGGAGCUCAACUCCAGAAUUGCCUUUAAGACUGCAUCGCUUGAACGUCGGAGAGGUGAGUGGAAUUCCGAGUGUAGAGGUGAAAUUUGUAGAUAUUCGGAAGAACACCAGUGGCGAAGGCAGCUCACUGGACGACUGUUGACGCUGAGGUACGAAAGCGUGGGGAGCAAACAGGAUUAGAUACCCGAGUAGUCCCUGUCUCUUAUAC
rnacentral:rRNA from 1 species